rnacentral:lncRNA from 1 species
GGCCCGGGAGGUGGGGCCGGUUAGGGCGAGGGUCCCCGGGAUCGUAGUGUCAGGCCUUGGGCCAACGUAGGCACUCGCAGUUCCUCCGCCUUCAGGAAGGUCUUUUUGGCAGGGGCCUUACGGGUGCGCGCUUCGGUCCUGGAGGCGUUAUCCUAGCCUCCUCUCCAUCAGCGCCACCCGUCUGGGGCCCGAUAGGAGGGAGCUUUCUGUCUGUCCCCCAGCCUUUGGACUGUCACCAAACAAGCCAUCCGUUCACCAAAUACUUAUUAAGCGCCUACCAUGUGUCUGGCAAGGGAGGUGUAACAGUGAGAAAAACUAGGUGUGGUCCAGGCCCUCCAGGGGCUCAGGGGCUCGUGGAAGAAGUGGACAUUGAAGUACUUACCACACAAAUGAGCAUGAAAGUACAAUAGCAAUAUCUGCCACGAAGGCGAGCAGACAGAGCUAGCAGGGCUUCCAGGAGGAGUUUUGAUCUUGCAGGGACAGGAAGGAGGAGUUAGCUCCUGGGGGGCGGGAUUGGGGGUGGUGGUGAUAUAGACGUGGGGACAGAGUGGAAAACAACAAAAAUAUAAUUAUUUUAGUUCAAAGUUAUUGUGUCUUGAGUUGAAAGGCAGGGCAGUUAGCGACACGGUUCAGAUUUCAGUACUGCCCCUGAAAUCUGAAUUGUGUUCAAAGUCUAAAACGUUUACCUUAGCAAAUCCCUCAUAAAACUCCAUUUGGAAGAGUCCCGAGAGCUAAUUUGUUAAGUAUACUUGCAGAAGGUAGAUGAGGAGACAGAUUAAAUCUUAUUACCUCUUUCAGAUGAGAGGCACUUGAGCCCUGCUCAGCCGUGAGAAUAAGAGGGGGAAUUAAUUCUAAUUGAAUACACUUGUUCUCUCACAGCUGUUGUUCCCCACCAGAACCAAAUGAGCGCAAGAUCUGACAAAGAAAAAAAAAGGUUCAUCUUUUAUUCCGCCAAACACUUUCAUCUAAAUCAAGAGGGUGGGAUGUGGUUAUUGCUGUGUUUUUAGACAGAAUCAACAGUUUCUGGGUCUGAGAUAUUGCAUACACCCUCUCAGUCCCUGUAUCCUCAGAUGGAGUCACCUGAGAAUCCACAGCAAGUCCUAACCGGGGAUGGGUCUGGGUGGUUAAGGAAGGUUGGCCUCAGAACUGGGCCAGGGGCACUGCUUUGCUUUUGCUGUUUUGAUCAGCUCUCUGCCCGCAGGAGACAAGGAAAACCAAUGGGAACAGUAACAAACAGAACCGCAAGAGCUCCUGUGACAAUGCUGAGCCUGAUCACUGCGCCUUGCAGAGCAGAUGCCCUCUGCACCUCCGCUCCUGUUAAGAAACCAGAGGGUUUUUAAUUGUCUGUUCCCAUCUAGCCGCUACCCAGUAAAGGCGCCAUUCCCCAUUUUACAGCUGGGGAAACUGAGUUACAGAGCUUGUCUACACUGAGUCAACAGGAGCAAAUGCUAGAUCAGGUAAUUGAACCCAAGCAAUCCGGUUCCAGAGCCAAAUAGAUGUAUUUUUUUAUGGUAUAAAUACACAUACAUACAUUUUUAGGGGAAGGGUGGGGGUAGGAUGGGAUGAGGAUUCUGGGUAAUUGCUUGGUAAAUGCCAAAAACCUUUCUUGUCUCUCCCUCUUUUCAAAUGAUAAAGAAAUGUCAAUUGCAACACUUUUUUUUUUUUUUUUUGA